rnacentral:misc_RNA from 1 species
GUUGGGCUUUGCGGAGGCUUACUUAGCUCUUAUCAUAUAUUCAUAAACCAUGCAUCAUACUUCAAAUGCAUAUACCAUUAUCCCUACGACUCAAACAACUUUUUUAGAGCCUACCAUUGAAAUGUCCAAGCUAGCUAUGCUCUUACCUUGCUUAGCUCUAAAGAUGAGCGAGAUGGGUGACCACUUCAAUGUAGCAAGCAUCAUGCAAAAUAACACGCAUGCACGACAUAUGUACUGUGGCUUGCAUCUGUCACACCAUCCAAUUACCACCAUAUCAUUGACCAAGUAUGUAACAAACAAUUCAACUCAGGUGGACGGUCAUGAAGCACCAAACAUCCAAUAGAAAAGAGAGGAUAAACUCAAUCACAACCUGAUGUAGAACAAAUAAAGAACAAGGAGAAAUCAAGGACCAAUCCU